GAAGGGAUGUAGCUCACUGGUAGGGCAUCUGCUUUGCAGGCAGAAGGUGCCAGGUUCAAUCUUUGGCAUCUUCA